rnacentral:misc_RNA from 1 species
AACCUUAUGGACCUGCGGGCGUAUACCUGCGGAAGGAUCAUUAAAAAGAGUGUGUACCCCCCUGUAAAAUGGGUGGGUUACCUCCCGUCCUUUGUUGACCUCUUAGGAGGUUAUUUUGAACUUUUCUGCUUCGGUGGGGUUAAACCUACCGGAACACCCUCAAAUUCUGAUCAUUUAAAAAUUGUUCAGUCCGAUUUUUGUUAAUAAAAACAAAAAACUUUUAGCAACGGAUCUCAGAUC